rnacentral:rRNA from 1 species
GGGAAACGCCCGGUUACAUUCCGAACCCGGUAGCUAAGCCCUCCAGCGCCGAUGGUACUGCACUCGGGAGGGUGUGGGAGAGUAGGACGCCGCCGGAC